AUUGAACGCUGGCGGCAAGCCUAACACAUGCAAGUCGAACGAGUGGCGGACGGGUGAGUAAUGUAUGGGAAACUGCCUGAUGGAGGGGGAUAACUACUGGAAACGGUAGCUAAUACCGCAUACCAUCGGAUGUGCCCAGAUGGGAUUAGCUAGUAGGUGGGGUAAAGGCUCACCUAGGCGACGAUCCCUAGCUGGUCUGAGAGGAUGACCAGCCAAACGGGAACUGAGACACGGUCCAGACUCCUACGGGAGGAAGCAGUGGGGAAUAUGACACCAUGGGCGCAAGGCUGAUGCAGCCAUGCCGCGGGUAUGGAGAAGGCCUUCGGGUUGGAAAGUACUUUCAGCGGGGAGGCGUUACCCGCAGAAGGAGCAACGGCUAACUCCGUGCCAGCAGCCGCGGUAAUUA
rnacentral:rRNA from 1 species